UGGGGGAUAUUGCACAUGGGCGAAAGCCUGAUGCAGCGACGCCGCGUGGGGGAUGAAGGCUUUCGGGUUGUAAACCUCUUUCGCUAUCGAACAAGGCCCGCUUAGGGUGGGUUGAGGGUAGGUGGAGAAGAAGCGCCGGCUAACUACGUGCCAGCAGCCGCGGUAAUACGUAGGGCGCGAGCGUUGUCCGGAAUUAUUGGGCGUAAAGGGCUUGUAGGCGGCUUGUUGCGCCUGCUGUGAAAACGCGGGGCUUAACUUCGCGCGUGCAGUGGGUACGGGCAGGCUUGAGUGUGGUAGGGGUGACUGGAAUUCCAGGUGUAGCGGUGGAAUGCGCAGAUAUCUGGAGGAACACCGAUGGCGAAGGCAGGUCACUGGGCCAUUACUGACGCUGAGGAGCGAAAGCAUGGGUAGCGAACAGG
rnacentral:rRNA from 1 species